AUGACAUUCUCUUAUGUCGCUGCUGGAUGGGAGGGUUCUGCAUCGGAUCAAGCUGUUCUAAGAUGGGCUAUGACUAGUGGGGGUUUAGUUGUUCCUGAAGGUAAAUUUAACCUUGUUGAUUCAGGCUACGCAAAUACUCCAAGAUUUAUUGCCCCGUAUCGUGGAGAUCACUAUCAUAUUGCUUCUUUUCGUGGAAGUAAUCGGCGAUAUACUGGUGAGAAGGACUUGUUCAACCAUCUACAUGCACAGUUGCGGAAUGUUGUUGAACGAACUUUUGGUGUUCUAAAAGCUCGUUUUCCAAUUCUAAGUAGGAAAGGAGGAAUUCCUUAUCCAUACAGAACUCAAGUGAAAAUUGUUAUGGCUUGUUGCAUUAUCCACAACUUCAUAAGGAAGGUUAAUCAUCCUGAUGAGUUAUUCGAGCUUUAUGAGCAUGGGAAAACAGAACAAAAUACUGACCAUGGUGAUCAACAAGUUCAUGGGCAAGCAAGAAAAGAUGAUAGAGUUGCUGGUGAGAGAGUUCGUGCUGCCAUCGCCCAAGAGUUGUGGACUAAACAUCAACAACGUAGUGCUCAACCAGAAGAUGAUUAA
rnacentral:rRNA from 1 species